rnacentral:lncRNA from 1 species
UUAAAUCAUUGCUCUUGAUCAGAAUUUCCUUCUCUGGUUUCCUUUAGAUUCAGUUUCUAGCCGACUCUCCAAGGUUGGAAAGUGUUCAGGGGGUUUGAUUUACUGAGCUGUGGGGGAGAGAUCCUGCUGCGCCCAUAGAGGAGAUGGUAAUUCUUUGAAAAAAGGAUUGUUCAACUCCAACAGAGAGAAGCUCCAGACAAACCUUGGCUUUGAGGACUAAACCAACCAGCCUGAAACCUCUUCAAGAAGACAGGAAUACUCAGAAGAUGCAGAAUCUUUGGAAAAGAAAAAUAAAAGUCAUCUAUGAUGAUUCUGAUGGUACAGAAAGGGCAUGAAAAGAUGAAGAAAAGUACUCCACAGGAUAUGUUCCAGUGCCCACUGGGAGACCUCCAAUGCGCAGGAGGCUGGUGGCAGCUGAGUCAAACUAUCUUCUUCCAAAGUGAAUGGGUUUUAGGCCCCGGCCAUGAAUCUGGAGAAAGGGAAGGAAUAGAAACAGAACCUCUUUCAUGGCUGAGUGAUUAAGAAAAGAUACCCACCAUGGGCUAAAUGUUAGGCUAGAUGGGAUGAUACAAAC